rnacentral:misc_RNA from 1 species
ACGGGAAGAGGCCACGGAAAGUCAGAAACAGCUAAAGAAGAAGAGCCACGUAAACAUGGUGGAGCAAAGCUCCUUUUCUAAAGUUCAGGCUCUUUACGAACUCUGCACUACCACCUUCACGCCUUUGGGGAUUCCUUCNNNNNNNNNCCCCAGCUAUCAGCAAGCUCUGCUCUCUUUUGGACACUGUUCAUGCUGCUGAUGUAGGGCG